rnacentral:rRNA from 1 species
GACGAACGCUGGCGGCGUGCCUAAUACAUGCAAGUCGAGCGGAGCGGCGGACGGGUGAGUAAUGCCUAGGAAUCUGCCUGGUAGUGGGGGAUAACGUCCGGAAACGGGCGCUAAUACCGCAUACUAUCAGAUGAGCCUAGGUCGGAUUUGCUAGUUGGUGGGGUAAAGGCAUACCAAGGCGACGAUCCGUAACUGGUCUGCGAGGAUGAUCAGGCACAGGGGAACUGAGAAACGGUCCAGACUCCUACGGGAGGCAGCAGUGGUGAAUAUUGGACAAUGGGCGAAAGCCUGAUCCAGCCAUGCCGCGGGUGUGAAGAAGGUCUUCGGAUUGUAAAGCACUUUAAGUUGGGAGGCGUUACCAACAGAAUAAGCACAGGCUCACUUCGUGCCAGCAGCCGCGGUAAUUC